rnacentral:rRNA from 1 species
GAUGAACGCUAGCUACAGGCUUAACACAUGCAAGUCGAGGGGAAACGAUAGAGAAAGCUUGCUUUUUCUAGGCGUCGACCGGCGCACGGGUGAGUAACGCGUAUCCAACCUGCCCACCACUUGGGGAUAACCUUGCGAAAGUAAGACUAAUACCCAAUGACGUCUCUAGAAGACAUCUGAAAGGGAUUAAAGAUUUAUCGGUGAUGGAUGGGGAUGCGUCUGAUUAGCUUGUUGGCGGGGUAACGGCCCACCAAGGCUACGAUCAGUAGGGGUUCUGAGAGGAAGGUCCCCCACAUUGGAACUGAGACACGGUCCAAACUCCUACGGGAGGCAGCAGUGAGGAAUAUUGGUCAAUGGGCGAGAGCCUGAACCAGCCAAGUAGCGUGCAGGAUGACGGCCCUAUGGGUUGUAAACUGCUUUUAUAAGGGAAUAAAGUGAGCCUCGUGAGGCUUUUUGCAUGUACCUUAUGAAUAAGGACCGGCUAAUUCCGUG